UCACAGCUGGGAAAAAACCCCAGAAAUCAGCAGAAACAUAUCACUCCUGCCUCCUGGUUAGUCAUUCUCCCAGCCAAGGCAGAUAAGAAGUGUGGCGCUGGCCCAGGAGCAAUACAUUAAGAAAAGCCAGAGGCUGAGGAGCAGGGGGUGUCACAGGUAUCUGAUGUUCCUGACCACAGCCAGUUCCUGACCACAAGCAUGACUGACAUCCAGACAUCAUGCUGACAUCCAGACGUGGGGCUACGGGCCUGACACUCCUGCCACCUCGUCGCCACAUUCUCGGAUUUGGAAGACAGAGAUGUUUCAGCUUUGGUUGUCCAAAAGUUGUGCUUGGAGUCUUGUGCCACAUCCAGCCAUGUUCUGAGGCUGCUCUUGCAUGAAGAAGCCACACGGACAGGUUACCUGUAGGUUGUCUGACCAGCGGUCCUGAGCAUCAAGACUUACCAGACUGUGUACCGGAUGUGAGUGACUGCAGUCUCCAGCCACAAAGUGUCCUCGGUCCCCUAGGCCACCCCCAGCUUCCCUAGGUGAGACCUCGGACACCGUGCAUACAGGCAGGCUGUUCACACUGUGUUCCUUCCAAACCCCAUACUGCAGAAUCCCUGGGUAUAAAUUUGAGGUAUUAUGUUAAACAGUAACCGGGAGAGCUGUGUGGCCACUACACACUGACAUCUGUGGAACUUGGAACUAUUUUAAGCAAAGCCCAGGGAAACUAACAUAAAAUAUUUAUGGUGUAGCAAACAGAACAAGAAAGAGAUGGGACUAUUCAGACACAGACAGGGAAUACUGGUUGGGAUCAAGGUAGGGCAGCGAUGGUUUGAAUUGAGCCUAGGGCAGAGGCUAGGUGUAACUAGAAUUGAGCCUAGGGCAGAGGCUAGAUGUAACUAGAAAAUGCCUUUCAAGCGAGAAUGUCCAGCUCAGGGCUGAGAGCUGACGAGAUCUGUUUGGACAGCAGAUGCUUUUGGCUGACCCAAAAGACACUGACUUCAUUCCUCUCCCUGUGAUUAGAAAACAAAAACAACAAAAAAUUCUAUGUUUGAAAAAUCCAACGUCUGACCCAGAAAAGAACAAAGAAAAGGAAGACAGUCUAGUAAGAGCAGAGGCCUUCCAUAUGGUGGAGCAGAAAGGAGGCCAAGUGUGGAGCUUUAAUUAAACCAUCGGGCCACUAGCACGCAGCCCAGCCUUUGGGAGAGCCGAGCCCUGGAGGCCUGUCUCCAGCCUCAGGCUGACAGGCAGUACUGAGAAGCAAUGGGAAGACAGCCUGGAGAAGCACAGAACACGAGUGGUUACCAAGCUCUGAAGAUCCCAGGCAAUGUCUGCUCUUGAGGUGAUGAUAAGCCUAGCACUAAAAUGAACUUUAGGGAGCCACUCCCUGAGGAAACGGAAACACAGGACCCACAGGUUCUAAGGAGGCUGUUGAGGUGAACAGAGCGGCCUCCCUCCUUCCCUUCUUCCGCCUUCUCUUUUGUUUCUCUCCCUCCUUUUCUUCCCCACUCUCACCUUCUUCCUUCCUAACUUGCUUUGUCCUCCCCUUCUUCCUCUUCCCUCCCCUUCUUCCCCAUUUCUCCCUUCUUUCCCUCUUCUCUCAUUGUAUGGAAAAGUUCCACAAAGCCUGAACCCCAGGACACCAUUGCUAAACUCUGCAAUUACACAGAGGAUAUGCAUCACUCCCUGGGAAGGGUCCGGGUGACACAGAGGAACACCUCUAUACAAUACCCUGUGCUAACGGAGCGGCUAGAGCUGAGUACUCGGCAGGCCUGGACCUUGACCAGUUCUGGUGCCCUCGGACCAUGAGAAAAUAAGCUAUCUAGAGGGGGCAAAAAAUACAGUAACACAAUAAACAUCAGAAUUAGGUCUACAAUUUGGAGAGAAUGGCAAAGCCAGAGAGAAACACUUUUCUCACACUGCUGAAGUAUAUGUGUGUGUGUGUGUCCCCACGCACACAUGCCUGUGUGUGAUGUGCACAUGCGCAGGGGUGUGGCUCACAAUGCCUGUGUAUAAGAAUGGAGGCCAGAGGAAGAUGUCAUCUUCCUGACCGGUCACACUCAGCCUCACUCCCUUGGGAUACGGUUUCUCUGACUCUGGGGCCAGGCUAGGCUAUCAGCCAACAGCCCCAGAGAUCCCAGUGGUCCUCCUGUGUCUGUCCACUGGGCUAGAGGUGCUGAAGCGGCCUUGCCUUUCCAUGUAGUGGUUGGGGAUUCCAUAGUCUUGCUUGAGCAUUCUCGUUUUCUUACUAGGUGAAUCUUCUCCCCAGGUCUCACAUUGCCAGGUUCUAAAUUGAUCCUUGUCAGCAAUCAUGAACAUCUGCCUUGCAGGAAAUGCUGAACUGUGAUGAACUAAAUUCACCUAUAAUAAAUGGUCUCCCUUUA